rnacentral:rRNA from 1 species
GCGUGAGUGAAGAAGGCCUUAGGGUUGUAAAGCUCUUUCAGCAGGGAAGAUAAUGACGGUACCUGCAGAAGAAGCCCCGGCUAACUCCGUGCCAGCAGCCGCGGUAAUACGGAGGGGGCAAGCGUUGUUCGGAAUUACUGGGCGUAAAGCGCACGUAGGCGGAUAAGCAAGUUGGGGGUGAAAGCCCGGGGCUCAACCCCGGAACUGCCUUCAAAACUGCUUGUCUAGAGACCGGAAGAGGUAAGGGGAAUUCCUAGUGUAGAGGUGAAAUUCGU